UUUUUUUUUAACCUAACCGCUACC
rnacentral:siRNA from 1 species